rnacentral:lncRNA from 1 species
GUGCUGGGAAAGGCUGGCUGGGGUCCCUGCCUCUCUCCAUCACCAUUUAUCUCCCAAUCUAUGAACCUGUGAGAGCAAUCAGAGAGGAGAGCUGCCCUCUCUAUCAAAAGUGGUGCCUGAGGGAGCUGAGGGACAGAAAGACGGAGAUGUCAUGUGAAUUGCAUGUCUCGCCUGGCCUAGCCUGUUUAGCCAAGGAUGGCAGGGACAGGAAGCAGGGUGAAUGUCACAGUCCAGCUGCCUACUUUGCUGUGAGAGUCUCAUGGCUCCCUGAUGGAUAUGGAAGGGAAGGUUCUGCUAACUCUGAGUCCGAAGGCUGCCAGGGACAAUCUGGAGAGGGUCAACCAACAUCCCAACAAUUGCUUCCCUGAUGGUAACUGAGACCCAGGUCCACAGGACCAGAUCACAAAGGCCUCAUGCUCCUAGCGAGCAGCAAUUCACAAUGGAAAGCACAUAAGACAUACUGAUAACACAGAGAGCCAACGACAGAGAAGAUACAAACUGAGUUUCCAAGCCAGCUCAGUCUACAUGAGUUCUGUCAGCUCUAGAUGCCCCACCAGUCUAGGGUUGCAUACAAGGUACAUUUCGAUGUAGCUGAACAUCCUGAAUUUUGACAUGUUCAGUUGCCUGCCUGGUUUUGUUGUUGUUGUUCUUUGUUGUUUGUUUGUUUGGUAAAUAAAGUUUUAUUGGAAC